UGGAUCAAUGAUGACCACAGGGGGUGUAUGAGUUAUAGACGAUGAAUAUGCCUGAAACUCUGAGGUCCAC
ensembl:snoRNA